GGGCCCGUAGCUCAGCAAGGAAGAGUCUAAACUCCCAAAGCACCGGGCUUUUAACCCGGUGGUCCCGGGUUCAAUUCCCGGCGGGCCCGCCA
rnacentral:tRNA from 1 species